rnacentral:rRNA from 1 species
UACGUAGGGGGCGAGCGUUGUCCGGAAUUAUUGGGCGUAAAGAGCGUGUAGGUGGCUUGGAAAGUCUUACGUGAAAGCCUGCGGCUCAACCGCAGAAGUGCGUAGGAAACUUCCUCGCUAGAGUCCGGAAGAGGAGAGCGGAAUUCCUGGUGUAGCGGUGGAAUGCGCAGAUAUCAGGAGGAACACCCGUGGCGAAGGCGGCUCUCUGGGACGGUACUGACACUGAGACGCGAAAGCGUGGGGAGCGAACAGG